UACGGGGGGGCAAGGCGUUGUUCGGAAUUACUGGGCGUAAAGGGCUCGUAGGCGGCCAACUAAGUCGGACGUGAAAUCCCCAGGCUCAACCUGGGAACUGCGUCCGAUACUGGAUGGCUUGAAUUCGGGAGAGGGAUGCAGAAUUCCAGGUGUAGCGGUGAAAUGCGCAGAUAUACAGGAGGAACACCGGUGGCGAAGGCGGGUCUCUGGGCAACAACUGACGCUGAGGAGCGAAAGCGUGGGGAGCGAACAGG
rnacentral:rRNA from 1 species